rnacentral:misc_RNA from 1 species
UACCCCAAUGGCAACUGCAUUUACACCGGUGAGAUUAAUGAGAUGACUUUGAGGCUUGUUAACUUGGGGACCCUAGUUGCCUUUAGAAGGUUUCCAUCCCUUAAUGGCUAAAAGAGAAUGAGAUGGCAAGAGCUCUAUUAAGUCUUCCCUUUGUCUCUUGGCAUUUCCAUAGUUCGAGCUUCUCAAGUUUUGCCUAACCUUCGAUGCUGGGUUGAUUAUUGUUUCCGAGCCUUUUGGACUUUUCUUCCAGCCAUGCAUGGCUUAUCCAAGCUCUUCAGCACUUCAAUGUUCCCCAGCAUCAAGUUUGUAGAGGUAUAGGCAGUAGGAGUAGGCAGCGACAGUGCUCCUCUUUCCUCUGUUCAGGCGGGUAUUCAACCCCUAGUGAGGACUUCUAUUGUAUGGGCUAUUGCCGUUGAGUUGGGUUUUUGAAUUGCAGUCUAGGUUCCUCUUAUUUGGACCAUGGAUGUGUUGUUCCUACUGGACUUGUCUUGGAG